rnacentral:rRNA from 1 species
AUGCUAGUGUUCCAUCAGUGGCCCUACACUCUUGUCCGUCUGCCAUGCUAUACUACUGGGCCAUGCUAUACUAGUGUCCCGCGCACGCCGCCUGCCACAGAGGCUGCGCCGGCUCGCCGACCGGGGCCACCACCCCGGAGUCCGUGGUCCUUCGCAAGGGGAACGAAGCGACGAGAGGCCUCGCCGCCACCUUCAUCGGCGGCCGCCGCGGCUUGCCUGGCGUCCCUCAGGUGGCGGCUAGGGGAGGAGAUGCUGGAGGGGGUGGCGGCGCCGGGGGAAAACCUAGUCGCCCCCGGGUCGCCCGCGGGGGACGACACGGGAGCCGCGCGUGAGUUCCUUCGUCAUUGUAGAUGUUCGCCUCUGCUAGUCGAUUUCCAUAAUGGAACAUGCAGUUUAGGUGGGCCAAACAGCCGGUAA